NNNNNNNNNNNNNNNNNNNNNNNNNNNNNNNNNNNNNNNNNNNNNNNNNNNNNNNNNNNNNNNNNNNUGGUGACACUGGGUGGCACUGGGUGGUGGCACUGGGAUUGUGUCCUUGUGAUGACACUGGAUGGCACUGGGUGGCACUGGGUGGUGGCACUGGGUGGCAUUGUGUGGUAGCACUGGGUGGCACUGGGUGGCAGCACUGGGUGGCGGCACUGGGUGGUGGCACUGGGUGGUUGCACUGGGUGGCACUGGGGUCAUGUCCUCGUGAUGGCACUGGGUGGUGGCACUGGGUGGCACUGGGUGGCGCUGGGGUCAUGUCCUCGUGAUGGCACUGGGUGGCACUGGGUUGAAGUGGGUGACACUUGGGAUGGUGUCCUCAUGGUGACCUGGCCGUGGUGGCACUGGCAUGGUGUCCUCAUGGUGACCUGGCCGUGGUGGCACUGGGUGGCACUGUCCUCAUGGUGACCUGGUGGCGGUGGCACUGGGUGGCACCGUGGCCAUCUCCUGGCAGUGUCCCCACGUCCUCUCCCAGCAGUGGUGUCACCAGGCCCAUGUUCUGGCACAGUCCCCAUGUCCCCAUCCUGGUGUCCCCAUGGCCAUGUCCCAUUGGUGUCCCCAUGUCCCCAUGUCCCCAUCCCAGUGUCCCCAUGGCCGUGUCCCAUUGGUGUCCCCAUGUCCCCAUCCUGGUGUCCCCAUGGCCAUGUCCCAUUGGUGUCCCCAUGUCCCCAUCCUGGUGUCCCCAUGGCCAUAUCCUGGUUGUGUCCCCAUGUCCCCAUCCCAUCCCGGUGUCCCCAUGGCCAUGUCCCAUUGGUGUCCCCAUGUCCCCAUCCUGGUGUCCCCAUGGCCAUGUCCUGGUUGUGUCCCCAUGUCCCCAUCCCAUCCCGGUGUCACCAUGGCCAUGUCCCAUUGGUGUCCCCAUGUCCCCAUCCCGGUGUCCCCAUGGCCGUGUCCUGGUGGUGUCCCCACGUCCCCAUCCCAUCCCGGUAUCCCCAUGGCCGUGUCCUGGUGGUGUCCCCAUGUCCCCAUUGCAAUGUCCCCAUGGCCAUGUCCUGGUGGAGUCACUUUGUCCCCAUCCCGAUGUCACCAUGGCCAUGCCCUGGUGCUGUCCCCGUGUCCCCAUCCUGGUGUCCCCAUGGCCGUGUCCCAUUGGUGUCCCCAUCCCGGUGUCCCCAUGGCCGUGUCCUGGUGCCACCCUCGGUGUCCCCGUCUCCGCGCUGUCCCCAUGUCCCCAUCCCAUCCCGGUGUCCCCAUGGCUGUGUCCCAUUGGUGUCCCCAUCCCGGUGUCCCCAUGGCCGUGUCCCGCUGCCACCCUCAGUGCCCCCAUCUCCGCGCUGUCCCCAUGUCCCCAUCCCAUCCCAGUGUCCCCAUGGCCGUGUCCCAUUGGUGUCCCCACCCCAGUGUCCCCAUGGCCGUGUCCCGGUGCCACCCUCGGUGCCCCCAUCUCCGCGCUGUCCCCAUGUCCCCAGCCUAUCCCAGUGUCCCCAUGGCCAUGUCCCAUUGGUGUCUCCAUGUCCCCAUCCCAACACAGUGUCCCCAUGGCCGUGUCCCAUUGGUGUCCCCAUGUCCCCAUCCCAUUCCGGUGUCCCCAUGGCCGUGUCCCAUCGGUGUCCCCAUCCUAUCCCGGUGUCCC
ensembl:lncRNA